GCUAGAAAACCACCCCUUCAUUGUCAUUUUUAGGAUAAAUCAGUUUUUUUAAACUAUAAUCAAAUUUUUAUGUUGAUUUUGAGACCAAAGAUCAUGAAGGAACCUUCAGAAGAACACUGAAGAGCAACUAAAGGAUGGAAGCCUCUCUCUAUAAGUUCAAGAUAUGAAGACAGCAGCAAAACGUGGUUAUGAAGCGACAGGGACAGAAGUGGCAGAUAAGUUUGUUUAAACAAAUUAAAACAAAUAGUUUGAACUGCUUUUAUGGCUAUUUAUUUAUUUAUUUAUUUAUUUAUAAAGCCAGUAAUAGGAAUGUAAUAAAUGUGCUGUUUCAAUAUUAGACAAUAUUAGUUUUUAAAAUAUAAGUUUGAGACUCCUACUGAUUAUAUCCAGAAAUAAUUACCAUAUAUAAAUUUUUUAUACAAUUAAACAAAAUAAGUUUAAUUUAUAAUGUGUAAUUACAAUUCAUAAAAUGUAAACAUCUUAAAAAAUGUGUUGGUCUUAUAUUUUUUAUUCGUAUUAAUCUUUUGAUUGCUAGUCUUUGGAUUUCCGGCGUACUUCCUUGUUGCCAGUUGUCGAAGAGCACGGCCAUUAUGGUUUCAGUUCAGUAUGUGGACAACCAAGAAGGGAUUUCUGAAGGCACAUUUGAAGAAGAUAAUAUAUUUAUCGAGCCUACUGUAAAGCUUUCAGUGCAAUGCAUGGCGAACCAGAGAGGCCUUCAUGGGCAAAUUUUGUAUGAUGAUGUGUCAUACCCCAUCCAUCUCCAACCCCAGGCUGAGCCAGAUAUUGAUGAUGAAGGCAUUGCAGUUGACAUGGAAGAAGAUGAAGGAUGGGAAUUGUACUAAUGUGUAUUUGAUGUGAAAAAAGGUUUAGCACCUCUAGGUUACAAAAUUAACAAGGAAUAAGAUAAGAACGAGAUGACUGUCCACUAAAUUAUAGUUAUAAAUCAAGUUUACAUAAUUCGAUUUUGUUUUAUAAAUAAAAUGUUUAUAAACAAUGUUAGUUUGAGUGUUGAACAAUGACAGAAGGGAAGACAUUACUUUUGUUGCCAAACUUGUUUUCUUAAUAUGAACUUCUUGUAAGGGGAAGUUAUAAUACUAGUUUACUAGUAUUAUUACAAAAGAUGUCUGAAUAAAUGUCCAACACUUUAAAAUGUUUUAAAAUUUACAUGUUCUCUCUUUUUGGAAAACCACCUAAAAAAUAUUGAUGAUGUUUUGUCUGCAGGGGCACACAUAUUUGUGUCCAGUAAAAUGCUCUCUACAUCCCAAAUUGCUGAAAGUUUUAAGCAUAGAAUU